rnacentral:lncRNA from 1 species
AUUAGAGCAUCAUCAGUGACGGGGUGUAUAGCACAUUUACACCUCAUUUGACCGGAAUCAACUGCAAUGGAAGGGUGUAUCCUACUGCAAAUAUAGCAUGCCACUGUGAGAUGGAAAAAUAUAUGGAAGUUUACAUCUGUUUUUACAUCCAAGAAGUGGGCCCCACGUCAGAGAAAGUAAGAGAGAGGAAAGAGAAAUGCUACAAUAUUUCCUAACUUACUUGCUACUCACGCGCAAGUAAAACGCAACUCGCCACUUUUGUUCUUUUGAGUUGCAAGACUCAUGCCAAC